GAUGAACGCUGGCGGCGUGCCUAAUACAUGCAAGUCGAGCGAACAGAUGAGGAGCUUGCUCCUCUGACGUUAGCGGCGGACGGGUGAGUAACACGUGGAUAACCUACCUAUAAGACUGGGAUAACUUCGGGAAACCGGAGCUAAUACCGGAUAAUAUAUUGAACCGCAUGGUUCAAUAGUGAAAGACGGUUUUGCUGUCACUUAUAGAUGGAUCCGCGCCGCAUUAGCUAGUUGGUAAGGUAACGGCUUACCAAGGCAACGAUGCGUAGCCGACCUGAGAGGGUGAUCGGCCACACUGGAACUGAGACACGGUCCAGACUCCUACGGGAGGCAGCAGUAGGGAAUCUUCCGCAAUGGGCGAAAGCCUGACGGAGCAACGCCGCGUGAGUGAUGAAGGUCCUCAGAUCGUAAAACUCCGUUAUUAGGGAAGAACAAAUGUGUAAGUAACUAUGCACGUCUUGACGGUACCUAAUCAGAAAGCCACGGCUAACUACGUG
rnacentral:rRNA from 1 species